rnacentral:rRNA from 1 species
GAUGAACGCUGGCGGCGUGCCUAACACAUGCAAGUCGAGCGAAGCGCCUUACUUGAUUUCUUCGGGAUGAAAGUAUUGUGACUGAGCGGGCGUACGGGUGAAGGUAACGCCGUAGGUAAGUAACCUGCCUCAUACAGGGGGAUAACAGUUAGAAAUGACUGCUAAUACCGCAUAAGACCACAGCACCGCAUGGUGCAGGGGUAAAAACUCCGGUGGUAUGAGAUGGAUCCGCGUCUGAUUAGCUAGUUGGUAAGGUAACGGCUUACCAAGGCAACGAUCAGUAGCCGACCUGAGAGGGUGACCGGCCACAUUGGGACUGAGACACGGCCCAA